GCACGCUCCUCUGGAGAAUUCCGUGGACAAGAGCCUGGCAGGCUCCUCUGGAGAAUUCCGUGGACAGAGGAGCCUGGCAGGCUACAGUCCAUGGGGUCACAGAGAGUUGGACGCAGCUGUCUGACUAACACACUCUUCCCCUAAGUGCAAGCUGGUGCCCCAGGUGUUACCGUGGACUCCUUGGGUUUUGUGGACGUGGCUGUGUCUGAUCUUGGUUUCUGUUUGGACCAUCUGGUCUGAGGGUCGUCUCUGAGACUGUGAAUAGGGCCCUCCGUCCCCUAAGCUGUGUUGGGUGACUCCUGACUCUAUCCUAAGUCACCUGUGGGAUGGGAAGCAACACACAGUGUCUUCCUGGCAAGUGUCAGUUUCCCCGACUGUGAGCCUCUUGAGGGCAGGGGUCAGUGGCAUUUACCCAUGUCCCGCUGUCAGCACUGUCGUCCACCCCCCACGGGCCCGGUCAUCCACCAUCCAUCCACCGGUCCACCUGCCCACUCUUUACCUGUCCAUCCAUCCAUGCAUCCACUGUUCUGUCUGUCCACCCAUCCACCAUCCACCAUCCGUCCAUCCCUCCGUGCGUCCUCUGAUCUUUCUGUCCUUCCAUCCACCGGCCACCCACCCAUCCACUAUUCAUCUGUCUGUCCAUCCAUCCACCCAGGCAUUCAUCCCCUCCUCUUCUUCUUUCUGUUUCUUUCCCACUGCUUCCCCUCUCCCCUUUCCCCUCCACACAGGGCAGGAGUAUUUCCAGAAUGUGUGAGGAACAGCAGUAGCUGUGAAGUCUCUGGAACCAGGUGACUCAGGGGUCCAGCAGGGGGAGAUGAGGUCAGAGGGGACUCAGGUUAUGUGGGGUCUUGCAGGCUGUGAUGAGGCCUUAGCUGUGCUCUGAGUGGGCUGGAAGACUUUGGUGACAUCCAAGGUGAGUGGAGGGGCGAUGUGAUCUUUCUGUGCUGGCAAGGCUCCCUCUGGCAGCUGCACCGAGAAGACACUUGAAUGGUGGCAGCCGUGGCAAAAAUUCAAAUGACCAGUAAUGGUGAUGGGGCAGGACCGCAGUGACGGAGGGAGAAGCCGCAGGGUGCUGAAGGUUCCGACAGUAGACCCGCCGGGCCUGCUGUGGCUGACAGUGGGGAUGAGACAGAGCGAAGCGCCAAGGGCCAUAUGGGUCCUGGGCAGCUGGAGGGACGGACGCCAUUUACAGAGGAGAGACAGCUGGGGAUAGAGCAGGUUUGGGGGAUUUGAGGAGUCCAUGCCCUCGUAGCUCAGUCGCUAAAGAAUCUGCCUGCAAUGCAGGAGACCCAGGUUUGAUUCCUGGGUCAGGAAGAGCCCCUGGAGAAGGAAAUGGCUAUCCACUCCAGUACUGUUGCCUAGAGAAUCCCAUGGACGGAAGAGUUUGGUGGGCUGCGGUCUGUGGGGUCACGAGAGUUGGACACGACUGAGCACGCACGUGGACACGUCAAGCCCGCAAGGCCGAAUCCAAGUGGAGAUGGUGACGGAGCAGCUGGACGCGGUUCUGGACUUCAGGAGCAUUGAAGAAUGUUCCAGAGAAAACCGCAGGACUGACAGCCCACAGAGGAGGACAUCGUGAGAAACGCUGGGCUGGAAGCAGCACAAGCUGGAAUCCAGAGUGCCGGGAGAAAUAUCAAUAACCUCAGAUAUGCAAGUGACACCACCUUUAUGGCAGAAAGUGAAGAGGAACUAAAAAGCCUCUUGAUGAAAGUGAAGGAGAGUGAAAAAGUCAGCUUAAAGCUCAACAUUCAGAAAAUGAAGAUCAUGGCAUCUGGUCCCAUCACUUCAUGGGAAAUAGAUGGGGAAACAGUGAAAACAGUGUCAGACUUUAUUUUGGGGGCUCCAAAAUCACUGCAGAUGGUGACUGCAGCCAUGAAAUUAAAAGACGCUUACUCCUUGGAUGGAAAGUUAUGACCAACCUAGAUAGUAUAUUCAAAAGCAGAGACAUUACUUUGUCAACAAAGGUCCAUCUAGUCAAGGCUAUGGUUUUUCCUGUGGUCAUGUAUGGAUGUGAGAGUUGGACUGUGAAGAAGGCUGAGCGCUGAAGAAUUGAUGCUUUUGAACUGUGGUGGUGGAGAAGACUCUUGAGAGUCCCUUGGACUGCAAGGAGAUCCAACCAGUCCAUUCUGAGGGAGCUCAGCCCUGGGAUUUCUUUGGAAGGAAUGAUCCUGAAGCUGAAGCUCCAGUACUUUGGCCACCUCAUGCGAAGAGUUGACUCAUUGGAAAAGACUCUGAUGCUGGGAGGGAUUGGGGGCAGGAGGAGAAGGGGACGACCGAGGAUGAGAUGGCUGGAUGGCAUCACGGACUCGAUGGACAUGAGUCUGGGUGAACUGCGGGAGGUGGUGAUGGACAGGGAGGCCUGGCGUGCUGCGAUUCAUGGGGUCGCGAGAGUCGGCCACGACUGGGCGCCUGAACUGAGCUGAGCUGAAGACUAAGGAAGUGGGUCUGCCGGCUUGCUUGUUUGCCGUUAGGAUAGAAGUCAGACCUCCCUUGGUCUUGGGUUCAGGAGAGCAGAACGCAGCUUCCUGUUCAUUCCCAGUGGCCCAAAGGAUGGCAGUGGGGUGGUCCUGCUGAUGUUCAGCAUUGACCUGGUCUGAGGGUCGCCUUCCAGCCAUGUCCUCAAUAUGCUCCCCCAGCCUCUCCAUCUGGAGUGCAUGUGCUUGGCUAACAAGCUCACUUCAAAGCAGAUGUGUCUCUGCGGCCAUAGUGUUGCCGUGAGCAGGUGAUGGCUUAGGCCCGCGCAGUCACUGCCCACGGGACCGCCUGAGGCAACGUUGCCGUUGCCAGGAGCUGGGGCGGGGUCUUGCCCCCCCUCCCAGAGGCCCCGUGGGCCUGCGCUCGGUUCCCGAUGUGGGUGUGGUCAGGCCGCCCCCGCAGCUCAGUGUGCUUGGCGUGCUGGCCUCCUGGCAGGACGAAGCAGGGGUGGAGCCUCUUUGCAGAGGAGGCGCACGGCUGCACCCCGAGCACAGCGCCGACCCUGCCUGAGCCUCUGUCCACCGCUUCCUCGCGCGGCAACGAAGGGCCGCGGUCCCGCCACGGGGAGGCAGCCGGGCGGGAAGGGGCAGCGCAACAGGUAGACACGUGUUGUUUUUUCCUCUUUAAAAUUUAAUUCUUUUUUAAUUGAAGUAUAGCUGACUCACACUUCAGGUGUAAAAUAAAGGGACUCAGUUACACAUAUGUGUGUGUGUGUGUGCAUUCCUUUCCAGGUGGUUUCCCGUCACAGGUUAUUGCAAGGCAUUAGACAUAGUCCCCUGUGCCGCACAGUGGGUCCUUGUCGUCUGAUUUCUUUAUAGUAGUGGGUGUAUGUUGCUGCUGCUGUUGAGUCACUUCAGUCGUGGGAUUCCCCAGGCGGGAACACUGGAGUGGGUGGCCGUUGCCUUCUCCAGUGCAUGAAAGUGAAAAGUGAGAGUGAAGUCGCCCAGUCGUGUCUGGCUCUUCAGCGACCCCGUGGACUGCAGCCCACCUGGCUCCUCUGUCCGUGGGAUUCCCCAGGCAGGAGCGCUGGAGUGGGCGGCCGCCCCCAAGCUUAAUUUAUCCCUCAGCCCUGUUUCCCCUUCCCUAACCAUAUUUUCCACGUCUGUGGGUCUGUUUCUGUUUUGUAAAUACAUUCAUCUGUAUCAUUUUUAGGCUCCACACGUGAGUUAUAUCAUGUGACGUCUGUCUGUCUCUGUCUGACUCAUUUCACUUAGUGUGAUGGUCCCUGGGUCCAUGCAUGGUGCUGCCAAUGGCGUUCUUCCAUCUUUAAGGCCGAGUGGGGCUCCACUGUGCACGUGAACCACGCCUUCUUUAUCCAGUCAUCAGUCAGUGGACGCUUGGCUUGUCUCCACGUCUUGGCUACUGUGAGGAGAGCUGCUGUGGACACUGGGGUGUAUGUGUCUGUUCUGUUUUGGAUAUACACUCAGGAGUGGAGUUUCUGGAUCAUAUGGUAGUUUUAUUUUUAAUUUUUUGAGGAAGUGCAAUGCUUUUUCCACAGUGGCUGUCAUUUGCAAAGUAUUUUUCUAGGUUGUCUUUUCAUUUACUUGAUGGUUUUCUUUGCUGUGCAUAUAAUAGCCUAUUAUUCACCCUUAAAAAAGAAAUAAAUCCUGCUGUUAGUGACAACAUGGAUGACCCUGGAAGACGUCGUGCUCAGUGAAGUAAGCUGGACACAGAGGGCAGACGGUGCUGGCUCCACUCACAUGAGGCAUCAGCAGGAGUCUCGCUCACAGCAGCAGAGCAGAAUGGAGGUGCCCGGAGCUGGGAGGGAAGAGGCGUCCGUGUCAGCGGCUGUGAGCUUCCUGCAGUGAGUGAGUGCUGCAGCCCUGCCGGGCACGCGGCGCUCAUAGUCAGCAGCGCUGUUUGCACCUGCGUUUUCAAGAAGGGGAAAAGGAGGUGGUGAUGGGGCCUGGGCUGGCCCCCUGCUCCCAGACCGCGCUUCCUGAGAGAGGGAGGGAACCUGACCGCGCCCUGCGCACCCGGAGCCAGGUCCUUGGCCAGCUAAUGGGCAAGUGUGUCUGGCUGUGUCCUGGGCACACUGUAUCAGGUACUGACACAGGAGGAGGAGGCAGGUCCUGUCUGCUUGAGGCGCACAGUGCAGGCAUGUCUCAGGAGUUGCUGCUGGUCACAGACAAAACCCGGACUUAGUUGCCAGUGUUACAAGAAACGCUCUAAAGACAGCAUUUUAAAGAGAGACAUCACACCUUGCCCUCACAUGGUGUGAAGUUUCUUCCUAGUAACACCAGUUUCAUCAUUACCAGUAGACAAGGUUUACUUUUGUUAGAAUUCACCUUACAGUCCCUUCUUCUGGAAUUUGAAUAAAAGCACAUUUUACAAGGUAAGAGUGGAAGGGUAGGGUGCGCAGUCGGCCAGAGCUGUCUGGGCGGAGGAGCUGCGGGCUGCCGAGUGCGCCCGGCUCCUCUCCAGCUCAUCUUUGCUGAUGUUCAGAGGACAACGGAAGGCCGUGCGAUCAGUCCCCCCUCAGCCACGCCACGUGACGCGACGCUUUCCGGGCCAACCUGCCGCCGUUGGCGGGGCUCAUGCCCGCGGCCUUCUGGAGCGGAGCGCAGCCGUGGGGGGAGACGGGCCUCAGCCCCACGGUCGAGCGGAGACUAGUUCCGCCAAGAGCCGUGGCCACUGAAUCCACAGAUGAGUUUGGGGGGAUUGUCAUCUUAACAAUAUUGAGUCUUUGAAAGAGACAGUGUGGCUGCACCUCCGCCACUACGGCCUUCGAUUUCCUCCACGUCGCCCUGUGGUUCCGUGCGUGGCCCCUCCACAUCUUUGGUAAGAUUGACCUGCUCGAGACAUUCGAAAACGGUUUCAGUUUCCAUUGCUUGUUACUGGCAUAUAGAAAUAGAGCUGACUUUGAAUACUGGCCUGUGUCUGCAGCCUUAUUGCUCACUGUUUCAUGGUCCCGUUUCCUCGUCCCUUCUGCUGGAUGUGUCAGCUGUGAACAGCUUGUCCCUUUCCUGCCUGGACUCCUUGUGUUUCUCUCCCGCAGAGCGGGAUUGGCGAGACCCUCCAGUAGCGUGGCCUGGGGGCAGUGGGCGCAGACCCCCGGCCCGUUCUUGGUGCUGGGGCCGGUACUCUGCAGAUGCGCUUUGUUGAACUGGAGGGGUUCUCGUGUUGGUGGUGAGAGAGCUAACUUAGGCAGGUUGGUAAGGAGUCCAAGCCUAAGGCCCCUUUAAGGAGGAUGUAAACAUUCUUUAUUUUUCAUUCUUUUGCCUUAGACAAGUAGGCCUUGCAGGCACCAGUAUCUCUUGUUCAAGGACUUGCCUCUGUUUUGAACUUUGGAUGAAUGUUGUGGAAGAAGGCCUCAGCAAAACGCCUGCAGCCUUGAGCUCUGUGUUACCCUCCCUUCUGAUUAAUCCUGUGCUGAUGUCAUCCCAGGAUGUAUGUUAUGGGAAAGGGUCUGGGCAAAGUUCUCACAGCCUCAAGGUAUUUUCUGUCUAUUCUCAGCAGCUGGCUGAGAAGUAUACAAAACCCCACUUAGACUAGUGAGGCAGGUACUCUCUUGCCCCCUUCUGAUGUCUGUGUCAGCUUUUUCUGUCGCUUCCACUUUAAAUGAGAUCUACACAAAGUUCUGAGUGACUGAGACUGUCUUUGGUCCCAGAGUUAGAUCUCCUUCGGAGCCGUGAGUCUGGCAGCACCGAGCACGUGUGUCAUAAGCUAUCAGUAGUUUGCUGAGAGCCUCUUCCGGGGAUGAAGGUUUCCAGGAAUGAGUUUUGUCACGACUUUCUGCAUCUGUUGAGAUGAUUGUACGGUUUCGCCUUUAAAAUCUGUCAUUAUGUUGUCGAUGUUUUAAAGCCUGUUGUUAUUUUAAGAUCUGGAAUCAGUCACAUUAAUUGAUUUUCAAAUGUUAGGACCAGC
ensembl:lncRNA